GCCAUGUUUGAGGAAAUAUUCUGUGUUGCUGUGCUGAGUAUUGCUGCUGUGGAGGUCUACGGUGUUUAUUGAUAUGGAUCCCAUCAUACGUUGUACAUUGUUCAGGAGGUUCACUAGACCAAGCAGCCAUUUGGGUUCCUCUAAAUUGGAACUAACAUGGUGGACUACCUGAGCAGAGCAACAACAUCUUCUAACUGCUUCAUCCUCUUGAGGGUCGUGGGGGGGCUGGAGCCUAUCCCAGCUGACAUCGGGCAAGAGGCAGGGUAUACCCUGGACGGGUCGCCAGACUAUCGCAGGGCUGACACAUAGAGACAAACAACCAUUCCCGCUCACAUUCACACCUACGGACAAUUUAGAGUCAUCAAUUAACCUGCAUGUCUUUGGACUGUGGGAGGAAGCCGGAGUGCCCGGAGAGAACCCACGCUGACACAGGGAGAACAUGCAAACUCUGCACAGAAGGGCUCCCCGGCCCGGGAUCAAACCAGCAAACCCUCUUGCUGUGAGGCGAGAGUGCUAACCACCACACCACCUUGCCGCCCCAGAGCAACAACAGAGCACCCAUAUGUCCUCAUGCUGGGCGAGGAGCAUCAGUGUUCUCAAGCAUUUGUAAUCAUAAAUGGGACAGCCAUGGAGCACCCAUCUCUUUUGGGUGCAGUU